rnacentral:rRNA from 1 species
GAUGAACGCUGGCGGCGUGCCUAAUACAUGCAAGUCGAACGGGCAGACUUCGGUCUGUUAGUGGCGAACGGGUGAGUAACGCGUUGGUGACCUGCCCUGGAGUGUGGGAUAACAGUCCGAAAGGAUUGCUAAUACCGCAUGCGCAAGUGGGAGUUUAGAAACCUGCUUGUAAAGCCGAAAGGCGCUCUGGGAGGGGCCUGCGUCCCAUCAGCUAGUUGGUAAGGUAACGGCUUACCAAGGCGAUGACGGGUAGGGGACCUGAGAGGGUGACCCCCCACAAUGGAACUGAAACACGGUCCAUACACCUACGGGUGGCAG